CAAAACAUGGAGAGAAGGGAAUCAUGCUCCUUAAUGGAAAAGAAGAGAUAAUAUGGUAAAGUGAUGAUUUUCAAUUGUCAUCACUCUUUAUCUGGUCAAUUAAGAAUGUGUUAGCUACCAAUAAAAACAAACAAAUUGACUCUUGGCAUCUGCAAGUUCAAGAUAUUGUGGAAAUGAACAUCCCAUGAACUUGUGUCCUUAAAACUUCGAAUCACAUUGUGGUGAAAUAUCAUUUUGGUGAGUAAGGAGUAUUCCCCACUAACAUCAAUUGCAGAGUAGCUGAAUGAUAGGAUCGAUGGGAAUAUAAA
rnacentral:lncRNA from 1 species